UGGCCAUACCAUGCUGAAUAUACCGGUUCUCGUUAGAUCACCGAAGUCAAGCAUCAUUGGGCGCGGUCAGUACUUGGGUGGGUGACCACCUGGGAACACCGCGUGCCGUU
rnacentral:rRNA from 1 species